rnacentral:rRNA from 1 species
CGGCGUGCUUAACACAUGCAAGUCGAACGGAAAGGCCCUGCUUUUGUGGGGUGCUCGAGUGGCGAACGGGUGAGUAACACGUGAGUAACCUGCCCUUGACUUUGGGAUAACUUCAGGAAACUGGGGCUAAUACCGGAUAGGAGCUCCUGCUGCAUGGUGGGGGUUGGAAAGUUUCGGCGGUUGGGGAUGGACUCGCGGCUUAUCAGCUUGUUGGUGGGGUAGUGGCUUACCAAGGCUUUGACGGGUAGCCGGCCUGAGAGGGUGACCGGCCACAUUGGGACUGAGAUACGGCCCAGACUCCUACGGGAGGCAGUAGUGGGGGAUAUUGCACAAUGGGCGGAAGCCUGAUGCAGCAACGCCGCGUGCGGGAUGACGGCCUUCGGGUUGUAAACCGCUUUCGCCUGUGACGAAGCGUGAGUGACGGUAAUGGGUAAAGAAGCACCGGCUAACUACGUGCCAGCAGCCGCGGUGAUACGUAGGGUGCGAGCGUUGUCCGGAUUUAUUGGGCAUAAAGGGCUCGUAGGUGGUUGAUCGCGUCGGAAGUGUAAUCUUGGGGCUUAACCCUGAGCGUGCUUUCGAUACGGGUUGACUUGAGGAAGGUAGGGGAGAAUGGAAUUCCUGGUGGAGCGGUGGAAUGCGCAGAUAUCAGGAGGAACACCAGUGGCGAAGGCGGUUCUCUGGGCCUUUCCUGACGCUGAGGAGCGAAAGCGUGGGGAGCGAACAGGCUUAGAUACCCUGGUAGUCCACGCUGUAAACGGUGGGUACUAGGUGUGGGGUCCAUUCCACGGGUUCCGUGCCGUAGCUAACGCUUUAAGUACCCCGCCUGGGGAGUACGGCCGCAAGGCUAAAACUCAAAGGAAUUGACGGGGCCCCGCACAAGCGGCGGAGCAUGCGGAUUAAUUCGAUGCAACGCGUAGAACCUUACCUGGGUUUGACAUGGAUCGGGAGUGCUCAGAGAUGGGUGUGCCUCUUUUGGGGUCGGUUCACAGGUGGUGCAUGGCUGUCGUCAGCUCGUGUCGUGAGAUGUUGGGUUAAGUCCCGCAACGAGCGCAACCCUUGUUCACUGUUGCCAGCACGUUAUGGUGGGGACUCAGUGGAGACCGCCGGGGUCAACUCGGAGGAAGGUGGGGAUGACGUCAAGUCAUCAUGCCCCUUAUGUCCAGGGCUUCACGCAUGCUACAAUGGCUGGUACAGAGAGUGGCGAGCCUGUGAGGGUGAGCGAAUCUCGGAAAGCCGGUCUCAGUUCGGAUUGGGGUCUGCAACUCGACCUCAUGAAGUCGGAGUCGCUAGUAAUCGCAGAUCAGCAACGCUGCGGUGAAUACGUUCCCGGGGCUUGUACACACCGCCCGUCAAGUCAUGAAAGUUGGUAACACCCGAAGCCGGUGGCCUAACCGUUGUGGGGGAGCCGUCGAAGGUGGGACUGGUGAUUAGG